UAGGGAAUCUUCGGCAAUGGACGAAAGUCUGACCGAGCAACGCCGCGUGAGUGAAGAAGGUUUUCGGAUCGUAAAACUCUGUUGUUAGAGAAGAACAAGGACGUUAGUAACUGAACGUCCCCUGACGGUAUCUAACCAGAAAGCCACGGCUAACUACGUGCCAGCAGCCGCGGUAAUACGUAGGUGGCAAGCGUUGUCCGGAUUUAUUGGGCGUAAAGCGAGCGCAGGCGGUUUCUUAAGUCUGAUGUGAAAGCCCCCGGCUCAACCGGGGAGGGUCAUUGGAAACUGGGAGACUUGAGUGCAGGAGAGGGGAGUGGAAUUCCAUGUGUAGCGGUGAAAUGCGUAGAUAUAUGGAGGAACACCAGUGGCGAAGGCGGCUCUCUGGUCUGUAACUGACGCUGAGGCUCGAAAGCGUGGGGAGCAAACAGG
rnacentral:rRNA from 1 species